GUGCCAGCAGCCGCGGUAAUACGGAGGGUGCAAGCGUUAUCCGGAUUCAUUGGGUUUAAAGGGUGCGCAGGCGGAUACUUAAGUCAGUGGUGAAAUCCCGGGGCUCAACCCCGGAACUGCCAUUGAUACUGAAUAUCUGGAAUACGGUUGAAGUGGGCGGAAUGUAGCAUGUAGCGGUGAAAUGCAUAGAGAUGCUACAGAACACCGAUCGCGAAGGCAGCUCACUAAGCCGAUAUUGACGCUCAGGCACGAAAGCGUGGGGAGCGAACAGGAAUAGAUACCCUGGUAGUCCACGCCGUAAACGAUGAUAACUCGUUGUUGGCGACACACAGUCAGCGACUAAGCGAAAGCGAUAAGUUAUCCACCUGGGGAGUACGAUCGCAAAGGUUGAAACUUAAAUGAAUUGGCGG
rnacentral:rRNA from 1 species